rnacentral:lncRNA from 1 species
CGGCACGCAGAGAAGACAAGUUAGAUCCGGCUACGAGACUUAAAGGCGGAGGGAACUGCUUGGACCGCAGCACAGGGCGGAUCAGACCGGUAGUGCUUCCUGUUGUGAGCCGCGCAACCCUGCCGGUUUCGCUUCCUAGAAAUGACGAGAUGGGCGUGCUCCUGACUCUUGACCAUUGGGAAAUCUUCCCAGCCUGGAAUUGUUCCUUUGCUGCUUUUGCUACCCUGUGGGUGCCAUGUUUUAUCUCCUCUGCGAUACCUGUUUGCCAUCCCUGCCUUGGAGCCAGGUGAUUAUGGACUGAAACUUCUACAAAUUUGCACGUUGUUCAGAAUACUAAGAAGCUCCUGGCCAGACAUGGUGGUACAAGCCUAUAAGCCCAGCACUCAGGAGGCAGAGGCAAGAGGAUCACUGAGUUCAAAGCCAGGCUGAACUACAUAGUAAGACCCUGUCUCAAAAAAAAAAAAAGCUCCUGAUAAAAGAGGAAGACGAGAGAGGUAACAAGAAUGGCCUGCCACACAGGAAAGGAAAACUAAGCACUUGUACUGUCAGAUGGCAGGUGUUGUGUCCCAGCAAAGAGAAAGCAGCUGAGAUAAGCCAUGA